rnacentral:rRNA from 1 species
UACGUAGGGACCAAGCGUUGUUCGGAUUUACUGGGCGUAAAGGGCGCGUAGGCGGCCAGGUAGGUCUGCUGUGAAAACUCGAGGCUCAACCUCGAGACGUCGGCGGAAACCAUCUGGCUAGAGUCCGGAAGAGGCGAGUGGAACUCCUGGUGUAGCGGUGGAAUGCGCAGAUAUCAGGAAGAACACCAACGGCGAAGGCAGCUCGCUGGGACGGUACUGACGCUGAGACGCGAAAGCGUGGGGAGCGAACAGG